UACGUAGGGGGCUAGCGUUGUCCGGAAUCAUUGGGCGUAAAGCGCGUGUAGGCGGUCCGGUAAGUCUGCUGUGAAAGUCGGGGGCUCAACCCUCGGAUGCCGGUGGAUACUGUCGGGCUAGAGUACGGGAGAGGCGAGUGGAAUUCCUGGUGUAGCGGUGAAAUGCGCAGAUAUCAGGAGGAACACCGAUUGCGAAGGCAGCUCGCUGUAACGUUACUGACGCUGAGACGCGAAAGCGUGGGGAGCAAACAGG
rnacentral:rRNA from 1 species